UACGUAGGGUGCGAGCGUUGUCCGGAAUUAUUGGGCGUAAAGAGCUCGUAGGCGGUCUGUCGCGUCGAAUGUGAAAACCCGGGGCUCAACUCCGUGCUUGCAUUCGAUACGGGCAGGCUAGAGUUCGGUAGGGGAGUCUGGAAUUCCUGGUGUAGCGGUGAAAUGCGCAGAUAUCAGGAGGAACACCGGUGGCGAAGGCGGGACUCUGGGCCGAUACUGACGCUGAGGAGCGAAAGCGUGGGGAGCGAACAGG
rnacentral:rRNA from 1 species